GACUCCUGCUAAUCCGUUUGCCUGCGCACCAUUGGUGGAGUGAGGCAGCGUCGGGGGCCGAGGAGAGGAGGUGCCUGAAUUCAGUCACACAUCAGUAAAGGGGCUUCAUGUCUGGCCAGUGUUUUUGGAUCAGCAGGUAGUCGCAGGCAAGCUGUUAAAGGGGUCAUCAUUCUUCUCUCUCGCUGCUCCUCACACACAGAUGGGGACCUGCUGAACUCUGCCAAAGCUUAGCGUACGGCAGGCGGAUGACACCGGACCGGACCGGACCGGACCGGACCGGACCGGACCGCCACGUCGGAUGCAUUGGAGGCAGAAGUCGUCUCCUCUGGUCAAAGCAGGAUGAACCUGAUGCUGGUUCUGCACGCUGCCAUCAAACGCCUGCAGGACCAGCACACACAGGACGAGCGGCUCCGUCAUCGGGCGGCGCCUCAUCGGACCCGCGUUCGGCGGGCGGCGAGUCCACGCCAAAUGAAAGCGGGGCCGAACCCCGGCGCCUCUCGCUCACAGAGGCUUCACACAGGCUGCGUGGGAGCCAGGGAGCGGCGCCUGAGGGCUGCUGUCAGACAGCCGGAGCAGGGUGCCGCCUCUCUUCUUAUCCUCUCUCCUCUCACUUCUUGCCGUUUGGGAUCCGCGCCGUUUUGCAGCCGAGGGCCCAUGUGGGAACCCCAGAAGGCUGGCUGACAGCCUGGAUAAACCCUCGCUCCUCCAGACAUGUUCCCCGGUCCUAUCAGCUGGGGACAGCACCUUGA
rnacentral:lncRNA from 1 species